rnacentral:rRNA from 3 species
AAAUUGAAGAGUUUGAUCAUGGCUCAGAUUGAACGCUGGCGGCAGGCCUAACACAUGCAAGUCGAGCGGUAGCACAGAAGAGCUUGCUCUUUGGGUGACGAGCGGCGGACGGGUGAGUAAUGUCUGGGAAACUGCCUGAUGGAGGGGGAUAACUACUGGAAACGGUAGCUAAUACCGCAUAACCUCGCAAGAGCAAAGAGGGGGACCUUCGGGCCUCUCGCCAUCAGAUGUGCCCAGAUGGGAUUAGCUAGUAGGUGAGGUAAUGGCUCACCUAGGCGACGAUCCCUAGCUGGUCUGAGAGGAUGACCAGCCACACUGGAACUGAGACACGGUCCAGACUCCUACGGGAGGCAGCAGUGGGGAAUAUUGCACAAUGGGCGCAAGCCUGAUGCAGCCAUGCCGCGUGUGUGAAGAAGGCCUUCGGGUUGUAAAGCACUUUCAGCGAGGAGGAAGGCGGUAAGGUUAAUAACCUUAUCGAUUGACGUUACUCGCAGAAGAAGCACCGGCUAACUCCGUGCCAGCAGCCGCGGUAAUACGGAGGGUGCAAGCGUUAAUCGGAAUGACUGGGCGUAAAGCGCACGCAGGCGGUCUGUUAAGUUGGAUGUGAAAUCCCCGGGCUUAACCUGGGAACUGCAUUCAAAACUGACAGGCUAGAGUCUUGUAGAGGGGGGUAGAAUUCCAGGUGUAGCGGUGAAAUGCGUAGAGAUCUGGAGGAAUACCGGUGGCGAAGGCGGCCCCCUGGACAAAGACUGACGCUCAGGUGCGAAAGCGUGGGGAGCAAACAGGAUUAGAUACCCUGGUAGUCCACGCUGUAAACGAUGUCGAUUUGGAGGUUGUGCCCUUGAGGCGUGGCUUCCGGAGCUAACGCGUUAAAUCGACCGCCUGGGGAGUACGGCCGCAAGGUUAAAACUCAAAUGAAUUGACGGGGGCCCGCACAAGCGGUGGAGCAUGUGGUUUAAUUCGAUGCAACGCGAAGAACCUUACCUACUCUUGACAUCCAGAGAAUUAGCUAGAGAUAGCUGAGUGCCUUCGGGAACUCUGAGACAGGUGCUGCAUGGCUGUCGUCAGCUCGUGUUGUGAAAUGUUGGGUUAAGUCCCGCAACGAGCGCAACCCUUAUCCUUUGUUGCCAGCGAUUCGGUCGGGAACUCAAAGGAGACUGCCGGUGAUAAACCGGAGGAAGGUGGGGAUGACGUCAAGUCAUCAUGGCCCUUACGAGUAGGGCUACACACGUGCUACAAUGGCGUAUACAAAGAGAAGCGACCUCGCGAGAGCAAGCGGACCUCAUAAAGUACGUCGUAGUCCGGAUUGGAGUCUGCAACUCGACUCCAUGAAGUCGGAAUCGCUAGUAAUCGUAGAUCAGAAUGCUACGGUGAAUACGUUCCCGGGCCUUGUACACACCGCCCGUCACACCAUGGGAGUGGGUUGCAAAAGAAGUAGGUAGCUUAACCUUCGGGAGGGCGCUUACCACUUUGUGAUUCAUGACUGGGGUGAAGUCGUAACAAGGUAACCGUAGGGGAACCUGCGGUUGGAUCACCUCCUUACCAAGAAG